rfam:Branchiostoma floridae genomic scaffold BRAFLscaffold_261, whole genome shotgun sequence.
AUCGGCUACGGCGACGCCUACCCCCGGACCCUGGCGGGGAAGUUGAUCGGCAGCAUGUGCGUCAUCACCGGCCUACUCGUCAUCGCUCUGCCCGUGCCGAUCAUCGUGGAGAAC